ensembl:lncRNA
GAGGAAGGGAGUGGGUUGGAAGGUGGGAACUGGGAGCAGAGGGACCAGUCAGCAAAGCCUGGAUCUGUGCUUGGAGCUACCUAGCAGGAAUUAAAGAGGCUGCCACAAACUCAAGACCAGGUGACAGUCACAGGUAAGAGCACAUGAACGUCGGUGGGAAAUGUUGACCGGGCGAUGUGAGCUUAGAAGGUUGAGGAGAAAGUCAGGCUUCCUCCUGGACACGCAGGAUCCAGGACCUUGUGAAGGACUGCCUGCUCUGCAUGUAGCUGACUUUUGAGAACUCUGUUAUUGGCAUGUUAGCUUGUCAUUCCCCUUCUAAAAGUGAUCUGGCAGGAGUGGAAGACCAGGGGGAGGCAGAAGUCCAGCUGAGUGUGCUGGGCAGUUAGGUACCCAUUAAUAAAGGGCUAGUGAUAAGUGGAUGUUAUUUAAGAACGCAUGACUAAUGUCUAGCUGUCAUUCCCUUGCCAUGCUCCAUGAGAUGCCCCUGCUGUGCCCAGAAUGGCUCAUACAGAAUUUUUUGACAGGUGCUCUAUUUUGUAAAGAAUGAACACCUGACUCGGCCUUUACAGACAUGAACAAAGAAAAAUGCAAGCACCAUUUAUAAGGCCAUGCACCAUGAGAGGUGACUUGUAAGUCACCCCUCCUACACACACACAACUCAGCCCUUUGCUGACAGCUCAAGCCAUCUCCCGAUGCCCACCACACCUGUCUAGGAUGGCUUUUCCAGAAGCUUCCCCAUCCUGUUGAUUUCACUUAACCCCCACCAUAAGCAGUCUUUCAUCAAUGUCUCGGUCAUCCUCUUCUGCGGGUGCCAUUUGUUCCCCCAAGAACACUUGAUCUGUACAACCAGCUCUGUGACGCUGGGCAGUUAGUUAAGCUCUUUCUUUCACAUCUUCAGGUGGAGAGUUGUAAAGGGCUCGUCUGAACCAUAUCAAAAUGACAGUACAUGACCAGCUCUGACCUAAAAAAUGGCAAUGUCAUUUGCUGCGAGAAUGACUUGAAUAUAAAACAAUUCAAAUAGUGCCCAACAAGCUGUAAGCAUUCCUUUCUAGUUAUGAUGCUCGUGGAUACGUCCUAAGUCGCUUCAGUCGUGUCCGACUCUUUGCACCGCUAUGGGCUGUAGCCUGCCAGGCUCCUCUGGCCAUGGGAUUCUCCAGGCAAAAAUACUGGCCUGAGUUGCCACGCCCUCCUCCAGGGGAUCUUCCUGACCCAGGGAUUGAACCUACGUCUUCUGCAUUGGCAGAAGGGUUCUUUAUCACUAGUGCCACUUGGCAAGUGCCUGUGAUGCUCAGAUGCUAUAAAUGAUCUCUCUGCCCCACAACAGCACGUCUGUGCUGUCUCCUCCUCCCCCAUCGCAGGUAGACACCGCUCAAGUAGUGUAGGGCUUCCUCACCCAGCCCAGAGGCAAAGUUAGACCUUAGGAAGGAAAGGGGCUGCUUUUCAAUGCCAUGGCCCUGUUCUUCUAGACUCACCCACCAGGGAUUUCCACACCCACCACCUGCUCCUCUAGCGCAAGGGGUGCCUGGCAUCUUGCCACAGAAUGUUUUCAUAGAAAUGCCCUGCCUAACAGGAGGGUUCCAUCACUGUUAAUGAAACUGAGGAUGAGUGUGGGUUAAAUCUAUUUCACCUGUAACCUCACUAAUUGUGGCUGGACAAGGUUCGCAUGUCCUCCAGCUGCACAGAGCCUGAACAAUGAGAUGCUUGACCCAGCUCUCUUCCAGAGUCUUAGACCAGCUGUGUCUAGCUGGAGCUGAACUGGUUGAGACUGGAUAGGACCACUGACCCUCCAUCUGGGCACGUGCGAGUGUCCCGCAGCUUGGUGACCUUUUGACUUCAAAGGGUGGAAAACUUCACCGUAAGACUGCGCCAAGUACCUCCCUUCUUAAGGUGCACAGGCCUGUGGCUGAGCUGCGCCUGCGCAGAAUGAGGAGGCCCCCCCACCUGCUUCCCAUUACCUUUCCCGCAAUCCCUGUGCUCCCUGAACCUGUGAGGCCAGCUCAUCCAGGAACACCCUAGCCCCUUUCUUCUGGGAGCUGCACCUGAGACUUUGUUCUCUUUCUGCAUUAAGCUGCCUUGUCCACAAGUCCCAUCUCAGAGCAUGGGGGCUCAGUGUUCAGCCUGCUGGGUGUCGGACAAAAACAAACUUUGUUCCUUAACGUUAAUCCUUGACUCACCUGCAGUUGCCCUGGUUUUUCCAAUAGUCAUGUAUGGAUGGACAUAAGAGUUGGACCAUUAAAGAAGGCUGAGCACCAAAGAAUUGAUGCUUUCAAACUGUGGUACUGGAGAAGUGUCUCCCUUGGACAGCAAAGAGAUCAAACCAGUCAAUCCUAAAGGAAAUCAACCCCAAAUAUUCAUUGGAGGGACUGAUCCUGAAGCUGAAGCUCCAAUACUUUGGCCACCUGAUGCAAAGAGCAGACUCAUUGGAAAAGAUCCUGAUGCUGGGAAAAGAUUGAAGGCAAAAGGAGAAGGGAGUGACAGAGGAUGAGAUGGUUAGAUAGCAUCACCAACUCAGUGAACAUGAAUUUGAGCAAACUCCGGGAGAUAAUGAAGGACAGAUCAGCCUGGUGUGGUGCAGUCCACAGGGUGGCAAAGAGUCAGACUCGACUUAGCAACUGAACAACAAGGUCAGCAGGUAAAGAAUUCGCCGGCAACGCAGGAGACACAAAAAGACGUGGUUUCAAUCCCUGGGUCAGGAAGAUCCCCUGGAGAAGGAAAUGGCAACCCACUCUAGUAUUCUUGCCUGAAAAAUUUCAUGGACAGAGGAGCCUGGCAAACUACAGUCCGUGGGGUCUCAGAGUUGGACGCGACUGAGCAACUGAACACAAUGAUUGUAAUAUGAUGCAUCAGUCAUUUGAAAAAUGUUGGCUCACUGGAUUGAUUACACAGAUCUUUUAAGCACUGACAUAUUUCAUCAUAUAAUCCCCGAAAAACCUCCUUCAUUCAUACAACCACUAAUGUCACAAUACUUAAAAAUCUUGGAGGGUUAGAAAACUGAAAAGCUUACAGUGGGAAAGACACGUUUUCCAUUAUUCUAAUUUUCACUUGAAAAGUUGACUUUUGUUAUUGGCAGAAAUAAUUUCAGUUGAAGUAUUUUUCCUUGAAGUGGAAACCUCUUUUGGUCUUUGAGAAAAUAUCUGCGAAAUCCAUAAGCCUGAUUAGCUAUGGUUAGUCUCUCAGUCACAUCCCAUAAAAUAAACUGUUAGUUGGGCUUGUAACCCACAGAAUUUUUUUUUUUUUGGACUGUGUCACAUGCAGGAUUUUAGUUUCCCAGUAAGAGAUCAAAGCUGGCCCCUUGCAGUGGAAAUGUGAAGUCUUAACCACUGGACCACCAGGGAAGCCCCCAUGUUUGCAGCUCAAACAGCCACCAGGCAACCAUUGUGCCCCAGUAGCCACUGAAGUGCUUUUCACCUACUUCCAGUGUCACCAUCAAAACAUUGAAAGACAUGUUAAGGGUCAAGAUUCAACAAAAGUAGUGGGUUUUAUGGCUUCCUCAAGGGCAUUUUUAGUGAAAAUAGCAUUUUUAAAUUUUAGGGGUUUUUUGGUUUUGUUUUUUGCUGCACGUGCCCUCUAUUGAACACAAUGGCUGAUAGAAUAGAUUUGACCCACUGGAUUUAUACUAAAGGGCCAGCUGUUCUACUCACUAAGGCUUUUUUGCACCUUCAGAGCAAAUGUCAGCACUGAAAAUGGAAAAUAACAUCUCAGUGUUAUUAGGAAAAUAGUUUGAGCUGAAAUUUCUUGGGGACCACCAGGAGUUUGCAGGCCACACUUUGAGUCACUGUCCUAAACAGUUACAGAGUCAUAGGUCACUGGAUAUGUGAGGAACCCCAAAUAGAAUCACAGCUUUAGAAGAGAUUUUAGAAGAGAUCAUUCAGCAAAAUGAUCUCCAUGUUGUCCCACAUUUUCAAAUAGUAUGGUGUUCUCCAAACU